UAGGGGUCCCAGGGCGGUUCGGGUUCCGAAACGCAGAGUGCAGGUCAAUACAGCUCCCUCUCCGCACCGAGCCUGAGCUGGCGCUUGGGGACGUGAUCUGCAAAGGUGGUGCGUUACGCACUGGCGAGGGACUGUGUGGGCCCUAGCACAGAAUACGUCCUCAGGUUUUGGUUGAAGGGAGGGAAGCAGAAAUCUGAACGCAGUGAGUUACUUUGUAAUGUAUUUGUUACUGAAAUAGUCCUACCAACAGUUUCCUACAUAAAAAACAACCACUAAUAGGUCAUUCGGGGGGGUCUCUUAGAUGAGAAGUAAAACAUACAGUACUAUGCUGUCUUUUCCAACUCUACAUAGAAUACUUUGAAAAGGGAAACGUUAAUAUAUAUUCGAAUAAACGAGAGUGUCACAGAGGCGGUGGGAUUUGAGUUGAGUAGUGGAAAAGCGAACUUUCUAGGUAAGGGCUGGACAAACACCAUGAACAAAGACAGCAGUGAAAAUGGACGCACUGUGCACAGACCAUCUAGAAGGUGCAGGUUGGGUACAGGUGAAAAGAAAACUGAAUAAAGAGGAGAAACAAGAAAAAUGUCAUUUAAAUGUAGUGGGCCCUGGAAACCACUGAUUCGCGGACUUGGGAGAUCCGUGAUGCAAAAUUUCUCUGGCAGUAGCGGCCAGAUGGAUUAGAUGGCAGAGGGAUCACUAGGGAGAUAAUGAAAGGGAAUGGAACAGUGAUGACAGAAUACUCAGAAAGGAGGACGUUCGGGAUCUAUUGCAAAAUGCCUUUUAGAAGACUUCAGAGGAUUGUAACUGAAAAGGUGAAUUAAAUUAAUGUCUUUAUCUUUCAAAUAACUGCACUGCCUCACACAAAUGAUUAUGUUGAGAGGUGCUGGAAAGAGGCGAAAGCUCUCGGAAUGGUGGCUUCAAGACAUUUUUUCUUUCGUGGAACUAUCUGAAACAAUGUAACAUUCAGUGUCAAAACAUUACAUCUGGAUCAGAAGGAAAUAUUUGAAAUUCUUAGGUAUGUUCUGAAACAUGUGCCUAUCACCUUAGACUUCACUACCCAGUCACAUUAAAGCAAAACACACACGUAGUAUGGGGAAAUUUUCUUCAUUUUUAAUUUACAGCAGAAAGAAUAUAAAGCAUUCAGAAAACAUUUUCCAUAUUUUAAGGGCAAUUCAAAACAUUUUGCAUGGUUUCCAGCAGCUGAGUUCUUCAACAGAUCCAUUGAUUCAAUGAUGCUUUACAUGCACAAUUACAAAAAUAAAACUUACAAAAAAGAAGACAUCUAGACUAGUUUUACAUGCAAGUCUCAGGGACCCCCCAUUGGGCGCCAACUACUGUGUGGAACUGCCAUAAGCGACCGUGCAGCCAGAGAGGGGUUCGUGUUAUUGUCUUUUAUUUCGUUCACACAGUACAGCUGAUUUCGAAUGGGUAACGAGAAUAGCAAUUAAAUCUU